rnacentral:tRNA from 1 species
CAGGGAGACAACAAAAUGUUUAAUAUUAUUUUGUCACCUUAGGUCGAUCGGUAUCUCACAUUCUUAAUUAUUUAAGGAUUUCAUUUCCUAAGUUUUUCUAGGUCACACCCAUUAUUUUUCCUGGGCCAUUAGCUCAGGUGGUUAGAGCGCACCCCUGAUAAGGGUGAGGUCCCUGGUUCAAGUCCAGGAUGGCCCAUAUCUCUAUGUUGGGGGUAUAGCUCAGUUGGUAGAGCGCCUGCUUUGCAAGCAGGAUGUCAGCGGUUCGAGUCCGCUUACCUCCACUGAUUACCACCUCUUCCAUAAUCUGUAAAAGGGAAAAGUUAUGAGUCGUGAUCAAAUUCUGAACGAAUCUAGCUUCCUAAUAAUUUUAUUAAGAUGCUGGACUCAUUGAAUUAAUUUCAUUGUUUUCAGAGAACCUUGACAACUGCAUAGAUUAUUUUUAAAGACAAUAAGCAUCUUUAAUGAUGCAGAUUUAUUAUUUGUGCGAAUGCAUUAAUAACAAUUCUAUUAAGCUGAUGCUUCAAUUAUUGAAGUUAUU